GAAAAUAAGCGACAGCUUGAAUCAGUUAAAGUAAAAAGAGCCGGCAAAUCUGGUGCCAGCCGCCGCGGUUACACCACGUGACUCAAACUGACCUCUUCCGGCGUAAAGCGUGAUUAAAGCCCNUCUUACCACUGCAAUUAAACCAGAACUGAGCUGUGACACGCCUAUUCCUGAGAACCCCAAAACCGAAAGUCAUUGCAANCCCCUAAACUUGAACUCACGACAGCUAGAAAACAAACUGGGAUUAGAUACCCCACUAUGCCUAGCCGUAAANCCUUUAUUUACCUCCACACCGCCAGGGAACUACGAGCAAAGCUUAAAACCCAAAGGACUUGACGGUACCCCAUAUCCACCUAGAGGAGCCUGUCCUAUAAUCGAUAAUCCCCGCUUAACCUCACCAUUUUUAGCAUAUCAGCCUGUAUACCUCCGUCGUCAGCUUACCUCAUGAGCGCCAAUUAGUGAGCUAAAUGCCCCUACGCCAACACGUCAGGUCAAGGUGCAGCAUAUAAAAUGGGAAGAGAUGGGCUACACUGUCUAAACUAGACUACACGGAAGACUAUAUAUGAAACCUAGUCGGAAGGCGGAUUUAGAAGUNAAAAAAGACCAAAGCGCUUUUUUUAACUUGGCACUGGG
rnacentral:rRNA from 1 species